AUUCAGUAGUAAUCCUAUCCUUUAAAAUUAAGCUUUUUAAAGGUAACACUAGUACUACUACUAGUAUUUAUCUUUUCACUAAAUCAUCAGUGAAUGGAAGGUUUAUCUAAAAGUGAGUAAAAGCUACGAUCUCUUGUUUUCUUCUGAGAAAAUAAGGCUAGGACCAGGAAAUGAAUUUAUAAAUAUUUACAAGAUUAUAUGGGUGUUGAUAUACUAAAGUCUAAAGGCCUCUUGAUUUCUUUUGCUGUAUUCUGAAGAAACUAGAACUUGUAGACAUAAGUAUAAGAUGUGAAAUUACUGAAAAAGACAGGCUAUAUUCCACUUAAGACAGUCAUAUAUUUUUGGCAGGAUAUUUAGCUUAUGCCGUGGUAUAAGUACCUGUUACUAAUGUUAUUACUAGUGCUAGUAGUAGAGGUCUGAAUCAUUUAAAAUUAAAGAGGUAUCAAUGAUUUCUUGAGAAGUUUUUUCCCAGUGAUGGGUUUCCUAGAAAAACCUUGAAGAACCAGAUGGUCUUUUAUUGUCCAUGUAUUAACUUAUAAUUAAAUUUUGUUUUCAGCAUAUAACAGAAGAAAGUUGAUACAUGUAUAUCAUGAAAUUAUGUAUUUUCAUACAAACUUGCAAGUGAAAAUAUAGGUAGGCCUGAGAAGAUCAAUCAAAUUGGUGAGUCAAAGUGUAUGGCAGAACAAGGUGGUUGUUACAGGCUGUAUGCUGUAAAGAUAUGGAGGCAUUGAAGAGCCUGCAUUGCACAGAGGUGCAUAUGUUGCACAGACUGUAGAAUCUGAAUUUUAAAGUAUAUUCCAAUCAGUGUUUGCAGCUGCUGUUGAAUCAGUUUCUGAGAUAUCCUAUAGACAAUUUGCAUAAACUAGCAGUGAUAGAGAAAUCUCUAUGCAAGCAAUCUGCAAUUGAUAUAGAUGAAAUGAUUGACAUUUAUCAAAAUGACCUGGUGCCAUUAGAAUCAAAGAACUGUGUGAAAUAUGAAAUUGAACAUGUGCACAGUGUCAUCGGCAAGAACUUUCCAGAUUCAUCAGAGAUUUCCGUACAUUAUUUUUGUGAAGCAGUGUGCAACAAUCCUGUGCUGAAGGAUGUUUGUCCAUCAGUUUUAACCAUGUUCAAAAUCUAUAUGGUGGCUCCAGUGACUACAUGUACUGCUGAAAAGUUACUUGCCCCUCACCAUCUCACAGUCUCGUGUGAAUCAUUUUGUUUGUCUCUAUAUCUUGAAGAACGAUGUGGAUGAAUUGCAUCUACCAAAAUUUAUUAACAACUUUAUUAGUCAUAGUACAGAAAUUUGAAUUGCAGUGAUGAGCCAAAUGACCCUUUUGUUAUCCAUUGAAAUAGAAUAUUUUUCCUUAAUAUGUUUAUUUUAAAUGUUUUGUUUUGAUACAUAUCUAUCAGCCAGCAAUUCAUGAGCUAUAGCUUACAGGAGCCAGCUUUUUGAUUUAUUGAAGAUGUAACCAAACUAUUAGAAGACAGAAAAUCAAGAUUCGUUUACUUCAUAAAGUAUCAUCAACACUUUUCUUAUAGUAUUCAUAUACUUUAUCAAAAUUUCAUGCCAUAUUUUGCUGUUAAGUUAAUUUUUUAUAUUCAGUUUUUUAAUGUUCUGUAAGCUCCCUAUUUUUUGUGAUCAAGCUGAUGAAAAACUUUUGAUACAAUCAUGUUUGAUGAACAUCAGUUACAAUAUUUUAAAGGAUUUGUAAGGCAUGAGAUGUUCAGUCCUAUUCAUUAAUGUAAUCUAAAAUAUAUGUUCAUAAGUUAUUUCCAGAACUUUGGGGAACACCUGUCGUAUUUUCUAAAAGACACCAUUAGCUCUGAUGUUUUGAUAGUGGAUUGUUGAUCAAUAUGUGUACGAGUAUUUUAUAGGUUUUGGUUCUUUAACUGUGAGGGAAAUUCAUUAACAUUCUCAGGCCGAGCUGAAUUAUUUGUUGGUGAAAGUGGUCUUCUGUCACCUUAUCUUAAUUUCUUGUUAUUCUAUCUUUGUUACUUGUAUUAGAAUUUUCUUCAAAUGUUUUUUAGCAUCAGUUAACUGAUGGGAUUAUGUAUGAAUAUUGUUGUACAUCCAAAAUACAGCUAGAAAUACCUAAGUCUAAUGUCAUCAGCAAAGUACUACUAAUGUAUUUGUCAAUAUUAGUAAUGUAAAUAAGGAAAAGCAGGCCCAUGUACUGACCCAUGACACACUAUUUGUAAUGCAAGCCCAAUUUGACCAGGCUCCAUUAAUAACAAAUAUUAGCUCUUUUUCUCAUGCUGCCAUCCUAUAAUCCAGUAAACUAAGUUUUUCACCAACCCCUGCUAAUUGAAUUAGAGAUUUUUUCAAAUGUUCUUUCAGCAUCAAUGUACUAAACUGAUUAUGUAUGAAACUGUGACUUUUAGUUACUUAAUGAGUAGAUGGUAUGUAAUUUAUUUUUAAAACUUGCAUGAAUAUUUAUGCCAACUCGUUAAUGAUGAGUUCUCAUCAUAAGGAAUGUAGUUGUGGGUAUGUAUGUAUAUUCAUGUAUACAUAUCUGAGAAAGAUGCACUAUGAACAGUAAUGAGUUCACUAAGAAAAUCUUGGUGCCAGUCACAUAUAACCAUUUGUACAUUUUAUGAUUAAUGUCAGACAUGGCAUAAUCUAGUAUCAAAUAAACACCCAUUGAAAAUCCAUUUAAAACAAUAUUUUUGUGAUGGAAAUAGUUAUAUACUGUAAUAUAUACACUCAUAUGUUUUGCAUGAAAUGUUCCUCCUCUUUCCCUUCCCUCUAAAAUGUUAUUCUGUAGUAUGUAAUGAAAAGAAAAUCAUGUAUUAUAUCAAAAUAUCUGAAUAAAGUAAAAUGUAUCUUAUGUAUUCAGCAGUAAAAAACAAAACAAAUUUUGAACUGCAAAAUUUUGUACGAGAGUGUCUUCUAUUUAUGAUUUUAAGAAGUGUUUUACUGGUUAACAAUUUUUAAUAUAGAAAAAUCAUUCAUAUUUCACUUGAAGGAAUGUUACAUUUUGUCUGAGGUGUCUAUUUAACUUACUUUUGUGUCUUCCUAUGGCUUGUUUUCAUCAGUAUCUAUUGAAUUUGUGGUGUAUAUGUACUCUUUGAAGAAAUAAAUAUCUUAUGUAAAAUAAUACUGUCAGCCUAGUGUUUGUUGUUUUUAUUGCUAGUUCUGAUUAAGAGAAAUACUAUUUUUAAACUCUUGAGUUUUAGAGUAAAAUUUAUACACUGGAUUAACCACGCUAUGAUAGUAUGUAUUAAUUUUUUAAAACUGCAUGUAUGGUAUUAUUACUACCAGAUAGAUGCAGCUAGUAUACAAAACCUGUGUAUUAAAUUUUACAUAGUUGUGCUUAAACCGAUAUAGUAUUACUAUCAUGGAAAUACAGAGAAGAUUAAUCUUUGACAAACUUUACAUAAAUGAAUAUAAAUUGUGAACAUAUUGAAAUGCCAGAUACACCAUUUUGUCACACCUGCAUAUCUUGCAUAUUAUUGAAACUGAACUGGUGUACAUGUAUAUAAACUCCAAAUGACACAUGGAAUCUAAUUUCAUGCAUGUCUGUAGUCGUACAAUCAUUGGUUAUCAAGUGUGGGUCUAACAGUGUGUAUAAGUUUAACAUUUUGUGUUCACAAACUAAUGUUAAAAGUAAUUGUAUCUGUUUUGAAAGGAGGAACGAGGUUGCUCUAUUUAUUUGCAGCCAUCUGUGGCUUUAUUGCAAGUGUGUACUGUAUCUGUGACCUGAGGCAACUGUAGUCGUGGUGUUUUGUUUCCAACAGGGUCUGAAAAUGAGUAUGAAGAAACUCUUGAGGGCUUGGAAGAAGGAAGAAACUCUACACAGUGCCCUCAUUGCAGGAAAACGUUUUUUAAUGCUUCAUCCCUGAGAAGACACGUCGAAAUUCAUUUUGUGCAGCGAAAGAACUAUAGAUGUCACUUGUGCCAGAAGGUGUUUUCAUGGAAAACCACAUUAAGUUCACAUAUGAAAAAGGACCAUAAAUUACGCAUGAGAUUUUAAAUUUCAUACACUUAGAUGAAAACAACAAGUGAUAUUAAUCUGUCUUUAUUCUUUGAAGUGGUUUGUAAUGGACUACAGUAGUGGAGACAGAAAAUUAAUUGAGUACUGUGGAUGGUUUUAUUUUGUCAGCCUUCAUGCUCCCAAAGUGCAAUUCGAGGCGCACGUGGACUGAAGAACAGAUGAAGAAAGCAGUGGAUGCUGUCAUUGUAGGAAGAAAAUCAUUUCAACAAGCAUCAUCUAUUUUUGGAGUUAAGAAGACAUCACUUCAUCAUCGUGUUAAGCUCCUUACAAAAUUUUCUUAUAAAAAGAUACAUAUAAAGGAUUGAUAUAAUGUAUUAUUCAAUACACGUUCUGUAUCACAUUUAGCCUGCUAAAAAACAUCAACUGUAAACCACAUUCUGUGAUAAAAGAGUGGAAUAUUAAUGGUGAUUGGAUACUGCAAGGUUAAGGGUAGAAGGGUGAUGUUCGGUAGGUUAGGAAUACAAGAUGGAUAGACGUUUUAUUAUAUAGGUUAUGAAAAGCUUGGAAGAUUGUCUUUGAUACAUAACAUAUUGGAGGUUAAUUACAGAGAAAUAAUUUUCCUACAUGUAUUUUUAUGACUGGCAUAAGAAAGAUACAUCUAGUUAUAUUGUAUUUUUCCCAUUUAUACAUUAAAUGUUGUAUGCUAGGACCUCAUGAUUCAGCAGUAUUUAUUGGAAAAAAUAACCGACUUAACCAUAUACAAAAUUAUUUCAAAGUAUUUUUUCUUAAUUCAGCUACAUUUUGGAAUUGUGGUUAAGAUUUAAAAUAACUUAAAAGCUGUUAAACAUAAAAUUAUUAUUGCUUUCUUUACAUUAAGCAUAAUUAAUCUAAUCCUUAUUGUAAAAACUGUGAAUUUUCUGAAAGGUUCUUGUACAAGUAUUCUGUAAUUGUACCACUAGAAUUUUAGAUAGAAAAUAAAGCUUGAUGGUUUCUAAUCUUGCUAACGUAAUGUGGUUCUUAUAUUCAUGCAUUCAUAAUUUGUUUUGAAUUAUAAAUAAUGUUUUAAGUCUAGACUUUGUUUCUAAUGUCAUCCUGCUUAGAUGCUUUUAUUUUAUAUGUAAUGUAGUAGUAUACUGCCUUUUUUUCUUAUCUUUUCUAUAUUUCAACUAAAACACAAGUUUCCAUUUCUUCCAUAUUUAAAGGAGAUUUCAGAAUUUAUAUGUACAUUCAGCAGGAGUUAACUUUUAGAGAAUAAAAUACUGAGUAAAAGUUUUAAGAUGGGUUCUCAAUCUUGGGAAAAUGUUAUGUUUAUUUGGAAACGUUUUUCCUGGUCAUCUCUGUUUGUUAUUUGUCAACACGUUUGUUGCCGUGUGCCCCACCAGUGGAUCACAAUCAACUUUUAGUUGUAAUUGUUAGUACUACCGGUGGCAGCGAACGUGUUAAAUAUCUAUAAAAGAUCAAACAACAAUAUCUCACAAUAAAAGGAAUACAGAGGAAUUCCUUUUAAGUUAAGCUUAUGCGUAUAAAUUUUUACCAAUUUUUGAGUGCUAGAGAGGGAAAGAAAAUAUUUAAGCCUUGUUUUAGAAAAAUAAAAUAUUAAUCAAUUUUGAAUCUUUCAGUGAUGAUAAUUGGUAAAAUUUAAAGUUAUCUAAACAAAACUAUUUUGAAAUCAUUGGAUUAAUGUAUAAUAUUUUCUGUAUUAUUUCUGUGAGACAAGAAAUAUACUACAAUGUUGAGAAGACUUUAAAAAAAAUUUUUUCUUGGUCAUUU